AUUGAACGCUGGCGGCAGGCCUAACACAUGCAAGUCGAACGAGUGGCGGACGGGUGAGUAAUGUCUGGGAAACUGCCUGAUGGAGGGGGAUAACUACUGGAAACGGUAGCUAAUACCGCAUACCAUCGGAUGUGCCCAGAUGGGAUUAGCUAGUAGGUGGGGUAAAGGCUCACCUAGGCGACGAUCCCUAGCUGGUCUGAGAGGAUGACCAGCCACACUGGAAGUGAGACACGGUCCAGACUCCUACGGUAGGCAGAAGUGGGGAAGAUUGGACAAGGGGCGCAAGCCUGAUGCAGCAAGGACGCGUGGAUGAAGAAGGCCUUCGGGUUGUAAAGUACUUUCAGCGGGGAGGCGUUACCCGCAGAAGAAGCACCGGCUAACUCCGGGCCAGCAGCCGCGGGAAUUC
rnacentral:rRNA from 1 species